UACGGAGGGUGCAAGCGUUGUUCGGAAUCACUGGGCGUAAAGGGCGUGUAGGCGGUCCGCUAAGUCUGAUGUGAAAGCCCGAGGCUUACCCUCGGAAGUGCAUUGGAGACUGGCGGACUGGAGUCCCGGAGAGGAGGGUGGAAUUCCUGGUGUAGCGGUGAAAUGCGCAGAUAUCAGGAGGAACACCGAUGGCGAAGGCAGUUCUCUGGGCCGUAACUGACGCUGAGGAGCGAAAGCGUGGGGAGCGAACAGG
rnacentral:rRNA from 1 species